rnacentral:rRNA from 1 species
GAUGAACGCUAGCUACAGGCUUAACACAUGCAAGUCGAGGGGCAGCAUUUCAGUUUGCUUGCAAACUGGAGAUGGCGACCGGCGCACGGGUGAGUAACACGUAUCCAACCUGCCGAUAACUCGGGGAUAGCCUUUCGAAAGAAAGAUUAAUACCCGAUGGUAUAAUCAGACCGCAUGGUCUUGUUAUUAAAGAAUUUCGGUUAUCGAUGGGGAUGCGUUCCAUUAGGCAGUUGGUGAGGUAACGGCUCACCAAACCUUCGAUGGAUAGGGGUUCUGAGAGGAAGGUCCCCCACAUUGGAACUGAGACACGGUCCAAACUCCUACGGGAGGCAGCAGUGAGGAAUAUUGGUCAAUGGGCGCAGGCCUGAACCAGCCAAGUAGCGUGAAGGAUGACUGCCCUAUGGGUUGUAAACUUCUUUUAUAUGGGAAUAAAGUUUUCCACGUGUGGAAUUUUGUAUGUACCAUAUGAAUAAGGAUCGGCUAACUCCGUGCCAGCAGCCGCGGUAAUACGGAGGAUCCGAGCGUUAUCCGGAUUUAUUGGGUUUAAAGGGAGCGUAGGUGGACAGUUAAGUCAGUUGUGAAAGUUUGCGGCUCAACCGUAAAAUUGCAGUUGAUACUGGCUGUCUUGAGUACAGUAGAGGUGGGCGGAAUUCGUGGUGUAGCGGUGAAAUGCUUAGAUAUCACGAAGAACUCCGAUUGCGAGGGCAGCUCACUGGACUGCAACUGACACUGAUGCUCGAAAGUGUGGGUAUCAAACAGGAUUAGAUACCCUGGUAGUCCACACAGUAAACGAUGAAUACUCGCUGUUUGCGAUAUACAGUAAGCGGCCAAGCGAAAGCAUUAAGUAUUCCACCUGGGGAGUACGCCGGCAACGGUGAAACUCAAAGGAAUUGACGGGGGCCCGCACAAGCGGAGGAACAUGUGGUUUAAUUCGAUGAUACGCGAGGAACCUUACCCGGGCUUAAAUUGCAUUUGAAUAUAUUGGAAACAGUAUAGCCGUAAGGCAAAUGUGAAGGUGCUGCAUGGUUGUCGUCAGCUCGUGCCGUGAGGUGUCGGCUUAAGUGCCAUAACGAGCGCAACCCUUAUCUUUAGUUACUAACAGGUCAUGCUGAGGACUCUAGAGAGACUGCCGUCGUAAGAUGUGAGGAAGGUGGGGAUGACGUCAAAUCAGCACGGCCCUUACGUCCGGGGCUACACACGUGUUACAAUGGGGGGUACAGAAGGCAGCUACCUGGUGACAGGAUGCUAAUCCCAAAAGCCUCUCUCAGUUCGGAUCGAAGUCUGCAACCCGACUUCGUGAAGCUGGAUUCGCUAGUAAUCGCGCAUCAGCCAUGGCGCGGUGAAUACGUUCCCGGGCCU